GAGAGAACUGCCUGGCUAUAUCUGAAUAGGAACAUGCUGCACGUAUAUGGAGCUAUUAUAGUCUGAGCCUACUAUAUGUGGCUCAGCAAUAUGUGAGUUGGACUUACACACUUUUAAUGUAUCUACAUAUGAAUAAGUGAUAUACUGCACUGUGAUCUAUAUUUGUUUUAGGUUCUGAUACAACCAGUAUUGGUGGUAAUAUUUUAUUUACCUUUUGUGUGUGCUUUCACCUGUGUUCUGCUUUAUUGUAGUUGUUUAUAUUGUGUUUUGUGGUGUGUGGAGUGGCCCAACACCUGGUGAUUUUGUGUAACACCCUUUUUUCAUGUAAGAUAGCGCCGUUUAUCACACUAUUUAUAUUUAUUGUUAUGGUUUGCUAUGGAGAAAGAAUCACACUUUCUCUGUCUCUCCAGCUUAUGUCAUGGCAUAUCUAAAGGAGAAGGACUGAAUUAAUGGCGACUACUAGAAAUAGCAG